GGAAGUCCGGUGCAAAUCCGGCACGGUCGCGCCACUGUGUGCCGGGGCUCCUCCCCUUCCGGGGGCGGUGUCACGGUGAGUCAGAC
rnacentral:ncRNA from 2 species